rnacentral:rRNA from 1 species
CCUACGGGAGGCAGCAGUAGGGAAUUUUCGGCAAUGGGGGGAACCCUGACCGAGCAACGCCGCGUGAACGAAGAAGUUAUUCGUAAUGUAAAGUUCUUUUAACAGGGAAGAAAGAGAAAUUUGACGGUACCUGAAGAAUAAGCUCCGGCUAACUACGUGCCAGCAGCCGCGGUAAUACGUAGGGAGCGAGCGUUAUCCGGAUUUAUUGGGUUUAAAGGGUGCGUAGGCGGGCAUUUAAGCCGGCGGUCAAAUGUCGGGGCUCAACCCCGGCCUGCCGUCGGAACUGGGUGCCUUGAGUGGGCGAGAAGUAUGCGGAAUGCGUGGUGUAGCGGUGAAAUGCAUAGAUAUCACGAAGAACUCCGAUUGCGAAGGCAGCUCACUGGACUGCAACUGACACUGAUGCUCGAAAGUGUGGGUAUCAAACAGGAUUAGAUACCCCUGUAGUC